AUGUAUUUCUUUUGGCGAGGUUCGUCUCAUUUAUUAUUUAAAAGGCAAACCUAAAAGUAAAUGUGAUUUUUCUAUUUUAUUUGUCUCUAACAAUAAAAAAGGUCCUAACUAAUUAAUCUGUUUAAGAAUUAUUAUAUUUGGGUCUAUGAAAUUCACAUUCUCAAACAGCUUGGGCCCGAACAUAGCCCGCAUUGAAGAAUUACCCUCCAGAUGGGCACGAAGCAUAAACCAGUCAAGCCUGGCCCAGGCCAAACGAACAGAUAACCAUACCAGGACCUGUGCCAUCGAUUCGAAUAACAAGGCCCAAGUUGCAUGGGAAGACUGGACCAAACGAACUAGGCUAAACGCCUACUGAGAUCAACACAAAUGGGCCUGACCGUUUUUAUCAACUGUAAUAGGAAUAACAAUAUGCAAUUACUCAAGUUAACAAGACGUAAACUAUUUGAACUUUUAAUUUCAUGUUACUUGCUGGCCUUCUGCUGAAUUCUCAGCUAUGAAGAAGGUGAAAAAUAGGUUGGCCAGAUGAUUUUAUUAAUACACAUCAUACAAACUUUUUUUUAAUUGGUUUUAGUUAAUACUAUUAAAUCAAAUUAUUGAAAUUAUUAUUGAAAUGGAAAAACACAAUCAUUGUAUGGCUUCCAACUAUACUACGCUAGAUUACCACCAGGGAGGGGACAAAUUUAAACUUCAAUGUCAACAGUCCAGAUCGGUAGCACAGUCCUACUUAAUUACAACAACAACAACAACAUCUACUCAGUAUAGUCCCACCAGGUGGGGUCUGGGGAGUGUAAUAUGUAGACGAGCCUUACCCCUACCCGAAAGGGCNN
rnacentral:lncRNA from 1 species